rnacentral:rRNA from 1 species
UACAGAGGAUGCAAGCGUUAUCCGGAAUGAUUGGGCGUAAAGAGUCUGUAGGUGGCUUUUUAAGUCCGUCGUCAAAUCCCAGGGCUCAACCCUGUAAUGCGGUGGAGACUAUCAAGCUUGAGUAUGUUAGGGGCAGAGGGAAUUUCUGGUGGAGCGGUUAUAUGUGUAGAGAUCAGAAAGAACACCAACGGCGAAAGCACUCUGCUGGGAUGAUACUGACACUGAGAGACGAAAGCUAGGGGAGCAAAUGGG